rnacentral:rRNA from 1 species
UCGGAAGCGGAGUCUACUCCGAAAAAUUCGAAAAGGCUAACCAGGAAAACCAAGGCUUUGCUGCUUCGCCGUGAACGAGUGCGCCGACCCGGGUGGAUUAAUUGUCCUGGGAAAACCUCCCCUGAUUGAGCGGGGAGAACUAUCUUGGGGAAAACCGUUAGCUAAAUACCGCGCUAAACCGUUCCUCAAGACCAAAUGGAGGGGGGACCUUUCGGGGCCUUUCUUUCCCAUUCGGAUGUGGCCCCCAGAAUUGGGAUUUAGCUUUAGUUAGGUGGGGGUAACCGGCUUCAACUUAGGGGCGACGAUCCCUUAGGCUGGUUCUGAGAGGGAUGACCCAGCCACACUUGGAAACUGAGACCACGGUCCCAGACUCCUUACGGGGAGGCAGCCAGUGGGGAAUUAUUGCACAAUGGGCGCCAAGCCUGAAUGCAGCCCAUGCCGCCGUGUAUGAAGAAGGCCUUUCGGGUUGUAAAGUACUUUCAGCGGGGAGGAAAGGCGAUAAGGUUAAUAACCUUGGUCGAUUGACGUUACCCGCAGAAGAAGCACCGGCUAACUCCGUGCCAGCAGCCGCGGUAAUACGGAGGGUGCAAGCGUUAAUCGGAAUUACUGGGCGUAAAGCGCACGCAGGCGGUCUGUCAAGUCGGAUGUGAAAUCCCCGGGCUCAACCUGGGAACUGCAUUCGAAACUGGCAGGCUAGAGUCUUGUAGAGGGGGGUAGAAUUCCAGGUGUAGCGGUGAAAUGCGUAGAGAUCUGGAGGAAUACCGGUGGCGAAGGCGGCCCCCUGGACAAAGACUGACGCUCAGGUGCGAAAGCGUGGGGAGCAAACAGGAUUAGAUACCCUGGUAGUCCACGCCGUAAACGAUGUCGACUUGGAGGUUGUGCCCUUGAGGCGUGGCUUCCGGAGCUAACGCGUUAAGUCGACCGCCUGGGGAGUACGGCCGCAAGGUUAAAACUCAAAUGAAUUGACGGGGGCCCGCACAAGCCGGUGGAGCAUGUGGGUUUAAUUCGAUGCAACGCGAAGAAACCUUACCUACUCUUGACAUCCAGAGAACUUUACCAGAGAUGGCUUUGGUGUCCUUCGGGAAACUCUUUAGACAGGGUGCUGCAUGGAUUGUUCGUCAUCUCCUGGUUGUGAAAAUGGUGGGUUUAAAGUCCCGGCAACCUGCGUACACCCUUGAUCCAUUUGUUGGCAUUCGGUUAGGGUCCGGUGAACCCCAAAGGUAGACCUUCCCAGUGUGUAACCUUGGAAGUAACGGGUGGGGAUGACUGGUCGAACUCUAUCAUCGGUCCUUCUACGAGUAGUGCUACACCGACGUGCUUACAAUGGGCGCUAUACAUAAGAGGUACGCACCUUCUCGAGAGCAAUCUGUCCUUCAUCAUAUGCGUCAUAGUUCGGAUUGGAGUCUGCAACUCGACUCCAUGAAGUCGGAAUCGCUAGUAAUCGUGGAUCAGAAUGCCACGGUGAAUACGUUCCCGGGCCUUGUACACACCGCCCGUCACACCAUGGGAGUGGGUUGCAAAAGAAGUAGGUAGCUUAACCUUCGGGAGGUCGCUCAAAUUUUUUUCA